rnacentral:lncRNA from 1 species
AUGUUUACAUCAAAAUUCUGUACAGGUCGAGAUGUCAGAAAUGACAGAUGCUUCUUAAAUCUCUAUAAAUUUCUAACCACUGUUCACUUACCGAAACUGGUGAUAACUAAUACUUGCUGCAAAUUAAUUUUUUGUUGUAGUAGAGACCAUGACCACAGCCAUGCUUCAAGUUUUCACAGGGCUGGAGUAAUCCCAAGAAAACAGAACAAAAAAGAUGCGCUGAAAACUCAGAUUUGUUCUGCACUGUGUGUUGUUUUUUAGAAGUCAGUGAUUUUUCUCGUCUAUAUCUGCAAACAUUUUACAAAUCGGUUACCAGCAUUGUAGGACAUUAAAUUUACUGUUUCUUGAGUUUGACUUACAUAGAAGAAUAUGUACACCUUACCAAAAUGGAUAAAUUUUUAUGAAUUGAAAGUUGAUAGUUACUGACAGCAAGUUUAGGACCCCUUUUUGCCCACCCUAAAUACUAAGAUUUGAGAACUUAUUAUUUUAUAUAGCAACUGCUUUAGCUUUCUCUCAAAAGCUCAAUUAACUGAAAAACAAUUCAGAACAAGUCCAGUUAGCUUGCUGCAUUUUUAACUAAAUCCUAAUACUACACUAAUUUGUAUUGCUACGUUGUUUCUUAUGGAAUCUUAGAAAGUAGUUUCUGAAAUGAAGAAAUAAGAAAAAAAAAAGAAAAAAAAAAGGCAGUCCUUUUGUCCUGAUGAAACAGCAGAUCAGUAUGUUGGAAUUAAACAUUUUCCAACAUAAUCCAACAUAAAAGAGUAUUUUCAGAUUUUAAAAGAUGUCCUAUUUUAUCUUGCGCAUCAUUCACAGCUGAUGUGGAGGCAUAAUUCUCUAUAUAUUUUCUCUAUGUAAUCAUCCUUUGGAGGGGGGAGGUAUGGGAUUAUUAUUUAAAUACCUGAUUUUUUCUCCUGCAUACAUACAACAAAUCAGAUGUAACAAAGUGUUUUCAAUGGAAAAUAUUCUCCUCCCUAUUUUUUUGGCAGCCUCUUAUCCCUAGAAGUAAAGUUUAGUGUCUCUGUUUAACACUUUAGGCAGGAUAUGUUGCUCUCAAUUGAAAUUGAAAUAUUAGAAUCUUCCUCUUGACUAAUUUUAUGGCAAACCUGGGCAAGAGAUUUUAUCUGAUGAUCUAUUCAGAAGAGUUAAAGGGGUUGGGUAUGAUGGUGUGCAUUGGCUAUAGAAACUGGCUUGCUUCAAUCUUUCUAACCCACUGAUGAGUUCUUCAUUAGAUUGUGAACAGCAUUACAAAAUAAUGAUAUUUUGGUCACUGCACAUUUGUGCAAGCAGGACAUUACCAUGGUUGAAUGUUACAGGCAAGAGAUACAUCACAGUGAAAAUCAAGGAACUGCAUGCUUAUUGCUUUUAUUCUUGCAGGGAAGCAAGCCACACCUAAUAAAGUAUAUUUUGCUGCUUAGAAGGGCUGUUUA